CAGUAGCCGCGGUAAUACGAAGGGUGCAAGCGUUAAUCGGAAUUACUGGGCGUAAAGCGCGCGUAGGUGGUUUGGUAAGAUGGAUGUGAAAUCCCCGGGCUCAACCUGGGAACUGCAUCCAUAACUGCCUGACUAGAGUACGGUAGAGGGUGGUGGAAUUUCCUGUGUAGCGGUGAAAUGCGUAGAUAUAGGAAGGAACACCAGUGGCGAAGGCGACCACCUGGACUGAUACUGACACUGAGGUGCGAAAGCGUGGGGAGCAAACAGGAUUAGAUACCCCUGUAGUCCCUGUCUCUUAUAU
rnacentral:rRNA from 1 species